CCUACGGGGGGCAGCAGUAGGGAAUCUUUCACAAUGGGCGAAAGCCUGAUGGAGCGACGCCGCGUGCAGGAUGAAGGCCUUCGGGUUGUAAACUGCUUUUAUAAGCGAGAAAUAUGAUGGUAACUUAUGAAUAAGGAUCGGCUAACUACGUGCCAGCAGCCGCGGUCAUACGUAGGAUCCGAGCAUUAUCCGGAGUGACUGGGUGUAAAGAGUUGCGUAGGUGGCAUAAUAAGUAGCUAGUGAAAUCUGGUGGCUCAACCAUUCAGACUAUUAGCUAAACUGUUAAGCUCGAGACCGUUAGGGGUAACUGGAAUUUCUAGUGUAGGAGUGAAAUGCGUAGAUAUUAGAAGGAACACCAAUAGCGUAGGCAGGUUACUGGGACGGUUCUGACACUAAGGCACGAAAGCGUAGGGAGCAAACGGGAUUAGAUACCCGUGUAGUC
rnacentral:rRNA from 1 species